GUCCAAAGCUAUACCACCCUGAAUGAGCCCAAUCUUGUCUGAUCUCAAAAGCUAAGCCAGAUCGGGCCUGGAUAGUACUUGGAUGAGCAGACUUACAUGAGUUGACUGUAAGACCCAAUAACUUUGUUUC
rnacentral:rRNA from 1 species